rnacentral:tRNA from 1 species
GUGACUCAGUGGUAGAGUGCUUGCCUUGCAUGCAUGAGGUCCUGGGUUCGAUUCCUUAGC